UUCUGGUGAGCACAUAUUCCCUAUAGCAAAAAUCUCUCAAGAAUAAUUAACCAGGAAACCUUUCCACAGCACCAGUUCUGAAUCUGAUUACUUAGUCUUUUACUGGAACUCUUGGGAAGGUGCCUGAUUCUCUAUGUGGUGCUUGGUCUCCACUUGCCCUGUGGAUUUGACACCUUGGGCUCUUCCACGCUUGCCUGCCCAACUGCCUUUCCCAAACCAUGAGCCCUGGUUCACCACAUUGAAGGUCAGCACAGCCCACAGAUUUCAUUAGGAGUUCUGCAACAAUGCUCAAGAAGAGCUCAAGAAGAAGAGCCAGGAUGAGCUCCAGAGGCCAUCUGGGUCUGACACCAGCCUCUGGACUUGCCUCUUGAUGCAUCCUCUGUUGCCUAAGGUGCUGGUCUUCGGCUUCAGUUCCUGUUUGUCAUCUCACAUGAACUUCCCAACAAGUACAACAUCUCUACAGAAGUUCCCCAGGCCAUCUUCAUUGCACAGUUCUGUACCCAGAGCCAUGUUUAUGCUGGCCUCCUUGCAGCCAGCCUCCCAGAGAGAGAGCUCCGUUUUCACUGAGUGCUGGAAGAGGCUGCGAGGAGCUGAUAAGGAGACAUAACAGAUUUCAAGCCAAAUUGGGGAAAGAGAGGUGAAAACAGAGGCAAAAUCAGUUGGUGGUUAGGGAGAACAAAA